rnacentral:rRNA from 1 species
GACGAACGCUGGCGGCGUGCUUAACACAUGCAAGUCGAACGGAAAGGCCUGCUUUCCCUUGUGGAUUGCGGGUACUCGAGUGGCGAACGGGUGAGUAACACGUGAGUGAUCUGCCCCCAACUUGGGUAUAAGCCUGGGAAACUGUGUCUAAUUCCCGAUAGGACUGCAGGGUGGUGCCUGUGGUGGAAAACGAUUUUCUAGUGGUUGGGGAUGAGCUCGCGGCCUAUCAGCUUGUUGGUGGGGUAAUGGCCUACCAAGGCGGCGACGGGUAGCCGGCCUGGGAGGGUGGACGGCCACAUUGGGACUGGGAUACGGCCCAGACGCCUACGGGAGGCAGGAGUGGGGAAUAUUGGAGAAUGGGCGGAAGCCUGAAGCAGCGACGCCGCGUGGGGGAUUACGGCCUUCGGGUUGUAAACUCCUUUCGACGGCGAGGAAGCCACCUGGUUGGAAGGGUGGUGACGGUAGUGGGAGAAGAAGCACCGGCUAACUACGUG